CGGGCAUGAUGGGAAAAUCACCUGUGAAGGAAAAAGAGUGAGAGCUAGAGAAGAAAGGAGACUCUUGAGACCACCAUGCUGGUCUAACGGGGGAAAGGAGAGAGGGGUGGAAAUGUCUCAGCCUGCAGUGAGGCCAGUCAAGAGUCCUCAGGCCAAAGUCACCCAGGGUUAGAGGCCCAUGUCUCUCAAGAAUGGACUUGAGUUAGUGCUAGAGCAUCAGCUGGGAGCAGACCGAGAGAAGCAUGGCUUUGGCAAAAACAAGGUGGCGGAACUAGUGGACGGCAGACAUUCCCCUGGAAGGAGAUUUGAGGGGGGCCUUCUCAUGGCUUCCCCAAGCUUUAUGGGCACUUCCCAUUUCAUCACAUCACAACCCAAUAAAGAUGUAUAGGCAAAGGUUAAGGCUUAAUAAAAUUAAUCAUUUUUACUGUUCAUCCCAAGAUUUCUUUUAAAGACUUUAUUUAUUUAUUCCUGAGAGACAGAGAGAGAGAGAGAGAGAGAGAGAGAGAGGCAGAGACACAGGCAGAGGGAGAAGCAGGCUCCAUGCAGGGAGCCCCACAUGGGACUCGAUUCCCCGUCUCCAGGAUCACGCCCUGGGCUGCAGGCAGCGCUAAGCCACUGCACCACCAGGGCUGCCCUAUCCCAAGAUUUCUUAAGUGCAACUGGCUUUGUGUUCCCUGCAAAUGUGUGGCAAUGAAGAGCACAGUGACUACAAGUCCGCUUUGGUGCCACUGCCUGGAUUCAGGCCAACGUGCCAGUAAUUUUACCCAGCAUUGCUUCUGCACUAUCAGUGAAAAUGUCAACUCAGAGAAAAAGGCACACGAAAUCUCGAUGUUACUAUAAAAAUGGCUUUGACCUUAUUAAUCCCCUGAAAUGAUCUCAGAGACCCCCUCAGUGAUCUCUAGACCCCACUGGGAGAACCAGAGACUUAAAGAUUGCAACCCCAGAAUUGGAGGAUGCUGGUUUUUCAUUUUUGUUUUCCGUUUUUUUCUGGAUAGUUCGGGCAAAAAUCACAGGAAAUCAAAAGAUAUUGAUUUUCACUUGGGUCACAUUCCUUCCUCUCCGGAAUCAGUCACUGUGAAGAGGAGGGUGAGGUGUUCUGAUUGGUCAGGCCUUGAUCAUGUGAACAGCUCUCCCAGCUGGAUGGGAUGUUUCUACCUGCCCAAAUCACAGCAAAUGGGUUCCCACCAGAAAGAGCAGUUCUCUCACAGGAAGAGGAGGGAAUGGUCGCUACACAGGCAACACAACCAAUCGUACAGUUCAAUAGGGAGCUGCUGGGGAAGUCCCUGGUUGACUUCGAGGGAAGUGUUUUUCACAGCGUGA
rnacentral:lncRNA from 1 species